rnacentral:rRNA from 1 species
AUUGAACGCUGGCGGCAGGCCUAACACAUGCAAGUCGAGCGAGCGGCGGACGGGUGAGUAAUGUAUGGGGACUGCCCGAUAGAGGGGGAUAACUACUGGAAACGGUAGCUAAUACCGCAUACUAUCGGAUAACCCAUAUGGGAUUAGCUAGUCGGUGAGGUAAUGGCUCACCUAGGCGACGAUCCCUAGCUGGGCUGAGAGGAUGAUACGCCACACUGGGACGGAGACACGGCCCAGACUCCGCCGGAGGCAGCAGUGGGGAAUAUGGCACAAUGGGCGCAAGCCUGAUGCAGCCAUGCCGCGUGUAUGAAGAAGGCCCUAGGGUUGUAAAGUACUUUCAGUCGGGAGGCGUUACCGACAGAAGAAGCACCGGCUAACUCCGUGCCAGCCGCCGCGGUAAUUC